rnacentral:rRNA from 1 species
GAUGAACGCUGACAGAAUGCUUAACACAUGCAAGUCAACCUGUGCCGUACGGGUGAGUAAUGCGUAAAGAACUUGCCUCACAGAUAGGGACAACAUUUGGAAACGAAUGCUAAUACCUGAUACUGUGAGAGAGCUUUGCGUCCCAUUAGCUAGUUGGAGAGGUAACGGCUCACCAAGGCGAGGAUGGGUAGCCGGCCUGAGAGGGUGAUCGGCCACAAGGGGACUGGGACACGGCCCUUACGCCUACGGGAGGCAGGAGUGAGGAAUGUUGGACAAAGGACCAGAGUCUGAUCCAGCAAUUCUGUGGGAACGAUGAAGUUGUCGGAAUGUAGAGUGCUUUCGGUUGAGAAGCAGUACCAACAGAAGAAGUGACGGCUAAAUACGUGCCAGCAGCCGCGGUAAUUC